CUGGAGUGUAUUUCAUUUUGUUCUCUGAAUCAAGAGACGGAGCCCAAAGCAAGACCUGUGGAUAUGAAGAAAUGGGCUCUGAAAGCGCCUGUCCCACACGUCCCUGCUGUUUGAGACACGGUGAAGCCUGUGCUGGUGGCAGUCACAAGAAGAGCUGUCUGUGCUCAGGUGGCUUCCAGGGCUGUCUGUGCUCAGGGAAAGACUAUUUCUAAUGUGACAGGAAACAUCCUCCAUUGUUUCUCCCCUAUAUUUGACUGAAACGAAGCUGCCCGCCUGCACAGCGGUACCCACCUCUGAAUAGUUUGCUAUUCUGGGCCCUGUGCAAUUUGGAGACUGACAACUUACCUUAACUGUUGGAGCACCAACCACUUCACAGAGCUCUCCCAGGCACUGCAGUCCCUGCUUCCUGCAUGGAAAGCAUCACCGAUACCAAGCAAGUGGAGAGGGCGGCCUUUCAUAGGAUCAUAGCCUUCAGGACUCUGGGGUGCCACAACUCCUGUUUGAAACAUAUAAUUGCUGUGGCAUUCAGUGCAACUGACGACAGGGAAGCUCGAACCUGGCAACUGCUACCUUAAAAAGUAAUAGAAGAAGGAAGCAAAAACCCCUGGGGAAGCUGUGCAUACAUAGCAAAGGAGGAGCAAUGGGCUUGCAUUGGUAAACUGCUCCAUAGGGCACCCAUUCAGUGCUAUAAAGAAGGCAUCCAGGCUGUGUGUUUCCCAGCUCCUGCAGCGGUAGGAUGGACCAUGAGUGUGCAUAGGAAGGUGCGUGAAGGCAGGCUAUGCUUUCCUGGGCCAGUUCUCUCCCUCUGAGGCUGCUCCGUGCAGAGCCAGCAGUGUGUGCAGCACUGACCAACGUGGUAUUUGAGAGCUUGAGAUCUCACCGUCUACCUUCUCUUUCCAAUUGCCCUCCCACUGUUGUUCUACAGCAUGCGGUGCCUUCAGCCGUGGUUCAGCUGCCAAAGAAGGUGGGGGAGUGCUGUGCUCCCCAGCUCCAUGCGGACCGGGAGAGAGGCAGAGAAACAGAGGAGGUGGGUGCUUUUCUGCAGGUAAUGAAAGCGAUCAGCUGGCUGCCCAUGCAGCACAGCCCUCCUGCCCUCCCCAGUCCUGCUCCCUGCCUUGCCAGGAGCGCACUUGGGUAGAAAGGUCUGAAAAAUCAGGACAGCUUCUAUUCUAUGGGAACAAAAGGUUUCCUUUGUUGUAAUUCCUCUGUUGGGC
rnacentral:lncRNA from 1 species